AAGGCGGACGGGUGAGUAACACGUGGGUAAUCUGCCUGUAAGACGGGGAUAACUCCGGGAAACCGGGGCUAAUACCGGAUAAUAAGAGAAGAAGCAUUUCUUCUUUUUGAAAGUCGGUUUCGGCUGACACUUACAGAUGAGCCCGCGGCGCAUUAGCUAGUUGGUGAGGUAACGGCUCACCAAGGCGACGAUGCGUAGCCGACCUGAGAGGGUGAUCGGCCACACUGGGACUGAGACACGGCCCAGACUCCUACGGGAGGCAGCAGUAGGGAAUCUUCGGCAAUGGGCGAAAGCCUGACCGAGCAACGCCGCGUGAGCGAUGAAGGCCUUCGGGUCGUAAAGCUCUGUUGUUAGAGAAGAACAAGUACGAGAGUAACUGCUCGUACCUUGACGGUACCUAACCAGAAAGCCACGGCUAACUACGUGCCAGCAGCCGCGGUAAUACGUAGGUGGCAAGCGUUAUCCGGAAUUAUUGGGCGUAAAGCGCGCGCAGGCGGUCUCUUAAGUCUGAUGUGAAAGCCCACGGCUCAACCGUGGAGGGUCAUUGGAAACUGGGAGACUUGAGUGCAGGAGAGAAAAGUGGAAUUCCACGUGUAGCGGUGAAAUGCGUAGAGAUGUGGAGGAACACCAGUGGCGAAGGCGGCUUUUUGGCCUGUAACUGACGCUGAGGCGCGAAAGCGUGGGGAGCAACAGGAUUAGAUACCCUGGUAGUCCACGCCGUAAACGAUGAGUGCUAGUGUUGGGGGGUUCCACCCUCAGUGCU
rnacentral:rRNA from 1 species